rnacentral:rRNA from 1 species
UACAGAGGGGGCAAGCGUUGUUCGGAAUUACUGGGCGUAAAGGGCGCGUAGGCGGCCUUCUAAGUCGAACGUGAAAUCCCCGGGCUCAACCCGGGAACUGCGUCCGAGACUGGAAGGCUUGAAUCCGGGAGAGGGAUGUGGGAUUCCAGGUGUAGCGGUGAAAUGCGUAGAUAUCUGGAGGAACACCGGUGGCGAAGGCGGCAUUCUGGACCGAUAUUGACGCUGAGGAGCGAAAGCCAGGGGAGCAAACGGG